UCCAUUGUUGGGGGACACGGUAGUCCCCAUGGCGAUCUUCCAAUCUACGUCAAAAGUGUCUUCUCCAAGGGAGCAGCCGCUGACGAAGGCAGCCUGAAGCGGGGGGACCAGAUUAUCUCCGUCAACGGUCAGAGUCUGGAGGGAUGCACUCACGAUGAGGCGGUGUCGAUUCUCAAAAACACGCGUGGUGCCGUCACGAUGACUGUUUUAACUUCAUAGACUGUGUAUACAUGUAGCGCCAUAUAGAAUCCAGGUGUGAUGUUC
rnacentral:misc_RNA from 1 species